rnacentral:rRNA from 1 species
CCUACGGGGAGCUGCAGUGGGGAAUAUUGGACAAUGGGCGAAAGCCUGAUCCAGCCAUGCCGCGUGUGUGAAGAAGGCCUUCGGGUUGUAAAGCACUUUCAGUGGGGAAGAAAGCCUUGGGGCUAAUACCCUCGAGGAAGGACAUCACCCACAGAAGAAGCACCGGCUGAACUCCGUGCCAGCAGCCGCGGUAAUACGGAGGGUGCGAGCGUUAAUCGGAAUUACUGGGCGUAAAGCGCGCGUAGGCGGUCUGAUAAGCCGGUUGUGAAAGCCCCGGGCUCAACCUGGGAACGGCAUCCGGAACUGUCAGGCUAGAGUGCAGGAGAGGUAGGUAGAAUUCCCGGUGUAGCGGUGAAAUGCGUAGAGAUCGGGAGGAAUACCAGUGGCGAAGGCGGCCUUCUGGACUGACACUGACGCUGAGGUGCGAAAGCGUGGGUAGCAAACAGGAUUAGAUACCCCAGUAGUC